rnacentral:rRNA from 1 species
GAUGAACGCUGGCGGCGUGCCUAAUACAUGCCAGUCGAGCGAACAGACGAGGAGCUUGCUCCUCUGACGUUAGCGGCGGACGGGUGAGUAAUACGUGGAUAACCUACCUAUAAGACUGGGAUAACUUCGGGAAACCGGAGCUAAUACCGGAUAAUAUAUUGAACCGCAUGGUUCAAUAGUGAAAGACGGUUUUGCUGUCACUUAUAGAUGGAUCCGCGCCGCAUUAGCUAGUUGGUAAGGUAACGGCUUACCAAGGCAACGAUGCGUAGCCGACCUGAGAGGGUGAUCGGCCACACUGGAACUGAGACACGGUCCAGACUCCUACGGGAGGCAGCAGUAGGGAAUCUUCCGCAAUGGGCGAAAGCUUGACGGAGCAACGCCGCGUGAGUGAUGAAGGUCUUCGGAUCGUAAAACUCUGUUAUUAGGGAAGAACAAAUGUGUAAGUAACUAUGCACGUCUUGACGGUACCUAAUCAGAAAGCCACGGCUAACUACGUG